GAGUCUCAAUCUGGGUUUUGACCUGGGCCUUGACAUUCUGUUGUCUUACAAUAAAUCUCCCAUCCAACUGGAGAACUGGAGAACAGGAGGAAGAGACGAUGAUUCCUGGGUCACGGAUUCCUCGCUGGAGAUUGGCUUAUGGUUCAUUUAACAGCUCAAGCGGAAAGGUGAAGAGAAGUAGUCAGAGCAAAGUGCAAGGAAAGAAUCUGUGGCUCCAGUCGCAUGAGUUCAGAUCUGGGAACCAGGAGACCUGCAUUCUAAUAGUGGCCCACCUAAGGUGAAGAGAUCGAGCAGGAAUCCUGAAAAACAGCUGCCGCGGUUACUUCAGCCAUCAAUGGAUUGCAGCGGGAGACUCCAGUGGAGAGGAGAAAGGAGGAGGACAGCAAAGUAUAAGGCCCAUAUAUCUCACUUUGCCUCUCUGCCUCUUCCUUUUCUUACCUUUACAUUCAUCCUUCUCUUUUGUCUCUCCCCUUUGCUCUUAGAGAAUUUUGAAUCUUACGGGGCCAAUAAAAUAGUUUAAAAUUG